CUGAUAUUUCCUGGCUUUUCGAAAG
rnacentral:piRNA from 1 species